UAAACGGCGAAACUGCGAAUGGCUCAUUAAAUCAGUUAUCGUAUAUUUGAUAGUACCUACUACAUGGAUAACCGUGGUAAUUCUAGAGCUAAUACAUGCUAAAAAUCCCGACUUCGGAAGGGAUGUAUUUAUUAGAUUAAAAACCAAUGCCCUUCGGGGCUCACUGGUGAUUCAUAAUAACUUCUCGAAUCGCAUGGCCUUGUGCCGGCGAUGGUUCAUUCAAAUUUCUGCCCUAUCAACUUUCGACGGCUGGGUAUUGGCCAGCCGUGGUUACAACGGGUAACGGAGGGUUAGGGCUUGACCCCGGAGAAGGAGCCUGAGAAACGGCUACUACAUCCAAGGAAGGCAGCAGGCGCGCAAAUUACCCAAUCCCGAUACGGGGAGGUAGUGACAAUAAAUACUGAUACAGGGCUCUUUUGGGUCUUGUAAUUGGAAUGAGUACAAUUUAAAUCCCUUAACGAGGAACAAUUGGAGGGCAAGUCUGGUGCCAGCAGCCGCGGUAAUUCCAGCUCCAAUAGCGUAUAUUAAAGUUGUUGCAGUUAAAAAGCUCGUAGUUGAACCUUGGGCCUGGUUGGCCGGUCUGCCUCACCGCAUGCACUGGUCCGACCGGGUCUUUCCCUCUGUGGAUCCGCAUGCUAUUCAUUUAGUGUGUCGGGGAAACAGGACAUUUACUGUGAAAAAAUUAGAGUGUUCAAAGCAGGCAUAUGCUCGAAUACAUUAGCAUGGAAUAAUAGAAUAGGACGUGUGGUUCUAUUUUGUUGGUUUCUAGGACCGCCGUAAUGAUUAAUAGGGACAGUCGGGGGCAUCAGUAUUCAAUCGUCAGAGGUGAAAUUCUUGGAUCGAUUGAAGACUAACUACUGCGAAAGCAUUUGCCAAGGAUGUUUUCAUUAAUCAGGAACGAAAGUUAGGGGAUCGAAAACGAUCAGAUACCGUUGUAGUCUUAACCAUAAACUAUGCCGACUAGGGAUCGGUCCAUGUUAUUUUUUGACUCGUUCGGCACCUUACACGAAAGUAAAGUU
rnacentral:rRNA from 1 species